GCUUAAUCAUUUUAAUGAAUUAAUCAACUUAAACCUCAUCAGACUCCUCACUCUCUACCGCAAUCACUCUCUUUGCAAGGUCCAUGAAGUCUGGCCUCCUGCUCCUGACAGAGUCCUGGUACCACAGCAUCACAGAUUUUAUUGGAUCAUACUCCCUGAUCUCUGGAGAGGACAGCUGGACCAUAAGGAAAUCUGACAGUGUAUCAGAUUUUAUGUUGGACCGCCAAUUGGUUUUAAUCUGUUUCAUGGUAUUAAAACCUCUUUCACAUUCAGCUGUGGAGGCAGGGAAGGACAGGACCAGGUCAACCAAUGCCAGCAAGUCAGGGCAGGAAUGCUGAUGGCUCCUGUUGACAUGGAACCAGGACCUCUUCUGCAGGGACUGGGGCUCUUGGUGGUAGCAGCCUAAAUGAUGGACGGGGAACACCAGGAAGAGAAUCCUUCACAUGAGAAAGAAAAUGAAGAGAAGACUUCAUGUGAUGUGGAGAAGACUUUAUGUGACAUGGAGAGAGCUUUAUGUGACAUAAAGAAGAGUGCUGAAGAGAGCAUUUCAAGUAAUGACGAGAACAGUUCAGAUGAUGAAGUUGGACAAAGACUGGAUUCAAAAGUCCCAAGUGGCUCAGAUCCUCUUCCAUCUAAAGCAGAACGCUCCUGUGAUAAUAAUGAAUCUGAGCCGUUGCCCCAAAAAACCUCACAAGCUAAAAAACCUCAACGCAAGAAAUUCGCGCCACGGAAAGGUACAAGGUCAAGCUUACGUUCUAGCACAAAAAUGACAGUCAGCACAUGUAGUAUGACAGAUGAUGGUAAAAGAAAAUGGGACAAAAAGCACUUCUGCCUGUAUUGCAAUGAACCACACCACAAAAUUGCAAGACAUUUAGAAAGGAUACACGCAGAAGAAGCAGCUGUCGCUCAUGCUAUGAGCUUCCCCAAACUCUCCAAAAUCAGGUCUCUUUUGCUUGACCAACUCCGUAACAAAGGCAACUAUCAAGUUCUUCAAAGUGGAGAUGGUGAAAUUGUGACUAAGGAUAGACCCUCUUACGAUGGUGUUUCUGUGCGUGACUGCCUGCCCUGCCAACACUGCUUAGCUUUUUUCAACAAAAUAGAUUUAUGGAAGCAUGAGGGCUCAUGUAAAGCCAGAAAAGGACAAGAUGAAAAGAGGGGAGGAAAAAGAGUGCGGGUCCAGGCUGCGUCCUCUCGACUUCUUCCAUUGCCUGUCUACUCUACUGGAGGAUGUGAAGAAAUAAUACACAAUAUGAAUCAAGAUGACAUCUUAUGCCACAUCAAAAAUGAUCCCCUGAUAUGUAAAUAUGGCAAUGCACUAUCUGCAAAGCAUUGCCAUGCCAAGUCACAGUUUACAUACAUUGGAUCAAAAAUGAGGGAAUUGGCUAGAUUUGUACUUAGUGUAAAUGAGAUGGAUUGUGGUGUCCAAUAUCUGCAUGAAGUAUGUGUACCAUCCAAAUUCAAAUUGGCCGUUCAUGCUGCCAGGAAAAUGAGUGGUUUUGAUCCUGCCUCCGACAGGUACAAGACCCAAUCUCUUCCUUUAAAGAUUGGCUAUUCCUUGAAAAGAGCUACUGAAAUAGCUUUUGGGGAGAGUCGUAUGACAGAGGACCGUGAGGCAGAGGAACAAGCCAGAAGGUUCAUUGAGCUUCUUGAAAACGAUUGGAAUAACUGUUUUUCCGGUCUGUCCCUCAGUGCUGUCCCUCAGUGUGAUGAAGUUGAUGUGACUUCACUAACUGAGGAUUUGAUUAAACUUCAGAAGUUUCUCAAGGUUGCAGAGGACACAGCGAAGAAAGAAUUGCUGGAGAACCCCACCAACGCUGUCUGGAAAAAGCUCAAUGAAACUCUUCUUGCCGAAAUAGCUCUCUUCAACAGAAAAAGGACAGGAGAGGUUGCGAAAAUGCUGUUGGAAACAUACACAAACAGAAAGAAAGCUCCAGCUAGUGCAGACAUUUUCAAUAGCCUCUCAAGGCUGGAGCAGGAGCUUGGUGACGACAAGCUAACCAGGGUGGAAAUAGAAGGCAAAAAUGGUAGAACAAUGCCAGUCCUACUAACGGCGAGGAUGAUCUCGUCUCUUGAGAUCCUAAUUGCAAACAGAGACAAAGUUGGUGUGUCAAAGGACAACCCUUAUGUCUUCGCACGGAGCCCAGAUGCAGCAAGCUACGUCAGAGGGUCCGACUGUCUGAGGAAAUUUGCUCAUGAGUGUGAUGCAAAGAAUCCUGAAAGUCUGAUCCAUGCGACAGUGAGGAAAGAGGUUGCUAUCCAUUGCCAAAUACUGAACUUAAAUGAAAGUGAAUUGGAUCAGGUGGCAAAAUUAUUGGGACAUGACACCCAGGUCCACAAAGAGUACUACAGACUCUCUGAAAACGCAGCACAUCUAGCAGAAAUCAGCAAAUUGCUGCUUGCAAUGGAUCAGGUUCCAGUUGUAAUUCCAGGGCCAUCUGAGGAAAGGAUUGUUUCACCUACAUAUGGGGCAUAUUCUGCAGGGACAUAUCCAGUGGGAACCGAUUCUGCGAGGGUGUAUCCUACUGGCACAUAUACCACUGGGUCAUCUUAUCCUACAGCGACAUAUUCAGCGAAGUCAUAUACAUUGGGGGCACAGCCUUCAAGGUCAUAUCAUGCUGGGACAUAUCCUGAGAAGUCAUAUCCUUCAGGAUCACAUUCUGCAAGGUCAUAUCAUGCUGGGACAGAUUCUGCAAGGGUGUAUCCUACCGGGAUAAAUCCUGCUAGAUCAUAUUCUACUGUGACACAUCCUGCAGAGACCUAUCCAGCAGCUUCGUAUGCUGCAGGGACACAUCUUGCAAGUUCUUAUCCUGCAAGUCCUUAUGACCUAUCAUCUCCUGUAAGAUCAUAUGCUUCGGGGACAAAUCCUGCAAAAUCAUAUCCUGAAGAGACAUAUCCUAUGGGGACAUAUCGUGCAGGGACACAUCUUGCGGGGUCACAACUUGCAAGGUCAUAUCCUGCCGGAACAUAUCCUACACAGACACUUCCAGCGCGUACAGUUAUUACGCCAACACUUAAUGCACAGACACUUCCUGUUGGGGCAGUGCCUGUGGUUGCAGUUCCUUUGGGUGCAGUUCCUGUGGGGACAGGUUCUGUGGGGACAGAUAAGGUGGGCACAGUGUGGAAACAGAGGAUGUGGAGUGAUGCAGCUAAGGCUGCGGUGAACCGUCAGAUGGGACACUUCAUCUCAAUGAUGGAGGUUCCAGGUAAACAGGACUGUGAAGUUUGCCUGCACAAUGAACCAGCUCUAAGAGACAGGACAUGGAGGGACAUAAAAAACUAUGUGCACAACACAGUAAAAUCUAUAAAACGGAAGAAUGGCCUUACAAGAGUGGACCACACAAAACAGACAAAGAAAGGAGCAGCAAAGAAACAAAAAGAGGCAAAGCGUGCUAAAGAAUGGGUUGGUGGAACAAUGACAGUACCUGCACAGGGUCAAGAGGACAGACUUGAGGCAGGUCCUGUGGCAACACCAAGGAAACAGAAGAUAUGGAGUAAUGAGGCUCAGGCUGCGGUGAGGCGACAGCUAGGAGACUUCACUAAACUGAUGAAGAUUCCAGGUAAAAAGGAAUGUGAUGCAUGUAUUGCAGCUGAACCAGCUCUACAAGGCAGGACAUGGAAAGAUGUAAAAAACUAUGUGCGUAAUACAUUAAUGACAAUGUGUAGGAGGCAUAUUUCAGGCAAACAAAACAUGGACCAUGAAAAACCAAGUCCAAGGACACCGAAACCAGGGGUCCAACAAAAUCCAGGGGUGCAUCAGAAACCAGGGACGCUGUUGGGACUUCCAGAAGAUCCUCCUGUUUAUCUGUAUUUAUGAUUACCUUGAACUAGUUUUAAAAAGCUUUUGAUUUAAUCUGACAUCCUUGCUCAUUCUGAUCUCACUUUGUAACAUAAAGCAAGAAUGUAGAACCAUUUUAAGGAUAUAAUAUCACUACGUACUUUAUUCUACAAAUGUAUCCAUAGCAACUAGGCUACAUAGUGACGUAGUAUGCAUAUAAACUUGUUUAGCUGACUUUUACGUACAUUUUCUGAGCUUCUUUUUAACUGCAAAAUUUAUUUUGGCACGAUGUAUUGUGAUGCCCAAAUUAAUAAUCCUUUGGCAUGAGCUACACCAACGAUGUAUGUAAACCCUGGAUUGCGGAUGCUAUGUAUUGUCCUAUAAGAGGCUUUGAAGACACUGGUUGGCCUUGUUGGCACUCCCCACUAGGUGUAGUCCUCCAUAGGAAUGACUGGAAUUCUACAGUAUUUUAAUCAAAUGUUUCAAGGACAAAAUUACAUGUAUUUUGUUGUUGUAGUGAGGACAGUAACAUUAGUACUCUAAAAUACUUUAAAGAAAUGUUGUGUAUUUUUGCCUGUACCAUUGUAUGUGUAGCUAAUGUUUUUGUCUAGGUUAGGUUUUGAGUUAAAACAACUGUUCAGCAAACCUAGGAUUUGGUGGGUUAGGCUAUUCCUGGUAGAAGUGCGGUGUGGAUGGGUUAAAGUACUACAUUUGUGUCCAGGUUAGAGAGUAUGGUUUGAUGUUUGAGCCGCUUGAAAUCGACCAAUCACGUCAAGAAAAAUGUUUCUUUGGCUGUUCUAGAAUUAUACUGUACGAAAAUAUUAGCGCAGCUUGUUAAGUGUUGGUCCCAUGAGCUAAAAUAGAAGAUGCCAGAAAUGUUCCAUAAGCACAAAAACCUUACUUCUCUCAAAUGUUGGGCACAAAUUACUUCACAGCCCUGUUAGUAAGCAUUUCUCCUUUACAUUACGACUUACAGUAAGGAGUGUAUACAUUUCAAUAUUUGUUCAUACUGGUCCCACGUGGGACUCAAACCCACAACCCUGGCAUUGCAAGUACCAUGCUCUACCAACUGAGCCACAGGACCUCCUUUACCAAGAUAACCCAUCCACCUGACAGGUGUCGCUCUCAGACUGCAAAGAACCUUGGCGUGACCCUGGACAACACCCUGUCGUUCUCUGCAAAUAUCAAAGCAGUGACCCGCUCCUGCAGGUUCAUGCUCUACAACAUCUCUGUACAUUACGACCCUAUCUAACACAGAAAGUGGUGCAGGUCCUAAUCCAGGCACUUGUACUUUCCCGUCUGGACUACUGCAACUCGCUGUUGGCUGGGCUUCCCACUUAACCCAUCAAGCCCCAGCAACUUAUCCAGAACGCUGCAGCCCACCUGGUUUUCAACCUUCCCUAGUUUUGUCAUGUCACCCCACUCCCUCCGCACAUUCCGCUGGCUUCCAGUCAAAGCUCUCAAUCACUACAAGACCAUGGUGCUUACCUACGGAACAGCAAGAAAAACUGCCCCUCUACCUUCAGGCUAUGCUCAAACCCUACACCCCAAACCGAGCACGCCGUUCUGCCACCUUUGGUCUCUUGGGGCUCCCAGCUCAGCCCAAUUCAAGUUCUUCUCUGUCCUGGCACCCCAGCUUCCCCUUGAAGCUAGGCCAGCAGAGUCCCCCCCCAGAGGAAAAAUGCACUUUCUAUGCCUGUGAUGUGGUUGUCCCACCUAGUGCAUUCAUCUUAUGAUAGCUAACUGUAUGUCGUUCUGGAUAAGUGUCUGCUAAAUUACUAAAAUGUAAACAGCAUGAUCAUUACUCAGAUGCACCUUGUACUGUGGAAAUUAAAAGGCCACUUGAUAAUGUGCAGUUUUGUCACAACACAAUGCUACAGAUGUCUCAUGUUUUGAGGGAGUGUGGAAUUGGCAUGCUGACUGCGGGAAUGUCCACCAGAGCUGUUGCCAGAGAAUGUAAUGUUAAUUUCUCUACCACAAGCCGCCUCCAACGUUGUUUUAGAGAAUUUGGCAGUACGUCCAACUGGCCUCAGAACUGCUGACCACGUGUAACCAUGCCAGCCCAGGACCUCUGCAUCCAGCUUCUUAUGCACUUAUACAGCUAGUUGAGUGCAGUCUUAGUGCCAGCAUCGGUUUGUGGUGGUAAAUGGAUGGCUACGAAUAAUAUAGAUGGGAACCCUCUUGGUAGAUAGCGUGGUCUACAGCUUAUCAUAAGGUACUCUACCUCAGGCGAGAAAUACCUCGAGACUUCUUUAAUAUUAGACAUCGCGCACCAGCUGUUAUUGACAAGUAGACACACACCCCUGCCCCUAGUCUUACCAGAAGUAGCUGCUCUGUCCUGACGAUGCACGGAAUACCAAGCCAGCUCUAUAUUAUCCGUGUCAUCGUUCAGCCAGAACUCGGUGAAACAUAAGAUAUUAGUUUUUAAUGUCCCAUUGGUAGGAUAGUCUUGAUCGUAGAUCAUCCAGUUUAUUCUCCAGUGAUUUCACGUUGGGCAGUAGGACGGGUGGUUGUGGCGGUUUACCCACUUGCCGUUGAAUUCUCACAAGGUAGCUCGACCUCCUCCCCUGUAUCUCCGUCUUUUCUUCACGCGAAUGACAGGGAUUUGGGCCUGGUGAUUGUCUGAGACCAGCCACCUGGACAGCUGAUGAAACUAAGGAAUAUUUCUCUCUGUAAUAAAGCCCUUUUGUGGGGAUAAACUAAUUCUGAGAAAGAAAAAAUGUAUUCCCUCCCAGGCCCACCCAUGGCUGUGCCCCUGCCCAGUCAUGUGAUAUCUGUAGAUUUAUUUGCUUAUGAAUUUUAACUCAGUAAAAUUAUUCAAAUUUUUGCAUGUUGCAUUUAUAUUUUUGUUCAAUAUAGAAUCUUCACAUGACUACACAAAGACCAGCUCCAUUAAAUGUUUUAUUUUAAUGGAUUAUACAUACAUGCAUACAUACAUAUAAGUAACUGAAAUGUGUUUUGCCAAUUGGAAACAGUUCCUUCGUUCUGUGUGUGUGUAAUUGGUUUUAGAGAAUCACAGAGCUUAUUACUCUUGUACUUCGGUCUUUUAGCUGUCCAUGUACACUACCGUUCAAAAGUUUGGAGUCACUUAGAAAUGUCUUUGUUUUUGAAAGAAAAGCAAAUGUCUUUGUCCGUUAAAAUAACAUCAAAUUGAUCAGAAAUACAGUGUAGACAUUGUUAAUGUUGUAAAUGAUUAUUGUAGCUGGAAACGGCUGAUUUAAAAAAAUAAUAAUAAUAAUAAUAAUUAUAUCUACAUAGGCGUACGGAGGAUCCUCCCACUCUUUCUAUUCUUGUUAGAGCCAGUUUGCGCUGUUCUGUGAAGGGAGUAGUACACAGCAUUGUACGAGCUCUUCAGUUUCUUGGCAAUUUCUUGCAUGGAAUAGCCUUCAUUUCUCAGAACAAGAAUAGACUGACAAAUUUUAGAAGUCCUUUGUUUCUGGCCAUUUUGAGCCUGUAAUCAAACCCACAAAUGCUGAUGCUCCAGAUACUCAACUAGUCUAAAUAAGGCCCGUUUUAUUGCUGCUUUAAUCAGAACAAGUUUUCAGCUGUGCUAACAUAAUUGCUAAAGGGUUUUCUAAUGAUCAAUUAGCCUUUUAAAAUGAUAAACUUGGAUUAGCUAACACAACGUGCCAUUGGAACACAGGAGUGAUGGUUGCUGAUAAUGGGCCUCUGUACGCCUAUGUAGAUAUUCCAUAAAAAAUCUGCCGUUUCCAGCUACAAUAGACAUUAACAAUGUCUACACUGUAUUUCUGAUCAAUUUGAUGUUAUUUUAAUGGACAAUAAAUGGUAGUGUAGGUCUACGUGUUUUAUUAAUGUUGCUAUUAUUCAGUACUGUCUUAACCAUAUUGAUUUCACAGUAGUAGUUUAAGUUUUUCGACACUAAUUUAGGCUGACUAACCUGUAUACGGUUUGAUAGCUGUUGCUUCUCUAUUAUUUAAUCCACUUGACUACUAAUAUUAUAUUAUUUCAUCCACUUGCCUCCUAGAUAAUGUUAUUAUUGCAAGUCAAUCUUUGUUGAUUCUAAUUGCAUUAAUCAGGGGUUUCAUCCACAGCCCACUAUUUACUGUCUAAAGAUGUUUAAAUAGUUUUUUUUCACCAACAUGUAUUUUUAAUCAAGCUGCCUUUCGUUACCCCUGGUGCUCAUUGUGUGUACUCUAAGAUACUAUAUUUGCUUCGUUAAUAAAUUGUUACUUGAUGUAAAUGUUAAAAUGUUAUUCCAGUUCUCAGAAUAUUCAUAUAGCCUUCUUGAGGUCCACCAUUAGUGUUCCAACAGGGAUUUAGAAUUGUACCAAUAACAGUUCAAGGAAACAGCUUUGAGAUUUCAUGACGUUGUAAUGCUAGGAAUCUAUCAUCACCAUUACUUUAUGCUUUUAUGAACUUAACCUUUUUGGAUGAAAAGACAACGCCCUAGGUAAGUAUAAAAUCAGCUAAACCUUCAAAUAAGUGAACUGCCCCUCUAAUUCUUUAAGCAAUUAGC
ensembl:lncRNA uncharacterized LOC115155750